GACAUGAUGAGCACACGAUGGAUGCCAGGGCGCUGCGUGCCGAUGAAGGACGGGGCACGGCACCGAUAUGCUCCGGGGAGCCGCGUGCAGGCUGUGAUCCGGAGGUCUCCGAAUGGGGCAACCCGCCACCGCUUGGUGGCGCUCCCGAUGGGAGCGGGAACCCGGCCAACUGAAACAUCUCAGUAGCCGGAGGAAGAGCGAGCGACGCCCGUAGUAGCGGCGAGCGAACCGGGCGAGGCCUAAACCGCAGUCGUGCCAAGCCGCCACGCAUUGCGGCUGCGGGGUUGGAGGACCCGUCAGGCAGGAGGUGGCGCUCCUGCACCACCCGACCGUUGGUAGGUGAAGCCGUGUGGAACCCGGCGCCAUAGCGCGUGAGAGCCGCGUAACCGCCAACCUCAGGGGGGCGAUGGGUACCUGAGUAGGUCCGGGCACGAAGAACCCGGGCUGAAGCUGGGCAGACCACUGUCCAAGGCGAGCUACACGCAGCGACCGAUAGCGCACAGUACCGUGAGGGAACGGUGAAAAGUACCCCGGUGAGGGGAGUGAAAGAGAGCCUGAAAUCGUGUGCUUCCACGCCGUGGGAGCCGGGCAACCGGUGACCGCGUGCCUUUUGGAGUAUGAUCCGGCGAGUAAUCCUCGGUGGCGUGGUUAAGGCAGUACCAGCCGGAGCCGGAGUGAACGCGAGCCUGAAGAGGGCGAACCGUCGCCGGGGAUUGACCCGAAACCGUGUGAGCUACCCAUGGCCAGGCUGAAGCGUCCCUAACAGGACGUGGAGGGCCGCACCGGUGUCUGUUGCAAAAGGCUCGGAUGAGCUGUGGGUAGGGGUGAAAUGCCAAUCGAACACGGAGAUAGCUGGUUCUCCCCGAAAUGUAUUGAGGUACAGCCGCGGCAACGCGACGCGCGGAGGUAGAGCACUGUUGUUGUGCGGGGGCUUCACCGCUUACCAAGCGACGGCAAACUGCAAAUGCCGCGCGUCGGCACCGCGGGUGAGACGGCGGGUGCGAAUAUCCGUCGUCGAGAGGGAAACAACCCAGACCGCCAGCUAAGGCCCCGAAGUCAUCGCUCAGUGGGAAAGGUUGUGGCGCCGCUCAGACAACCAGGAGGUUGGCUUAGAAGCAGCCAUCCUUGAAAGAGUGCGUAACAGCUCACUGGUCAAGCAGCGCUGCGCCGAGGCUGUAACGGGGCAAAGCGAUGCGCCGAAGCUGCGGGUUGGUGCGAACCAACGGUAGGGGAGCGUCGUCAGCGCGGUGAAGUCGGCGCGGAAGCGUCGGUGGAGGGCUGACGAGUGCGAAUGCCGGAAUGAGUAACGGAGUAGCGAUGUUGCAAUCAUCGCCACCGAACGUCUGAGGGUUCUGCCGCACGGGUGAACCGCGGCAGGGUAGUCGGGCCUAAGGCGAGUGCGCAAGCAGGAGCCGAUGGACAACAGGUUGAUAGUCCUGUACCGUGGAGGAGUCGAUUGGACCAAUGCCGGAUGCUGAGGGGUAGUCGCCGCGGCGAGACGAGCGCCGUCCAAGCCGGUAGGGAGCCGGGCGAGGCAAGACCCGUUCGGCGCUGACCGAGAGGCGAGAGAAAGGGAGUGCGGCCACGCACUGCCAAUGGCGAGGCGCCUGUGCAGCCACGAAAGGCCGGCUCGGGAGACCCUCCACGCCCGUACCGCAAACCGACACAGGUAGACAGGUCGAGGAGACCAAGGUGGACGAGUGACCCCCGGUUAAGGAACUCGGCAAAUUGACCCCGUACCUUCGGAAGAAGGGGUGCUGCGUGUAGCGUGAAGCCCCGAGCGGGUGGAGCGCGAGGCAGCCGCAGGGUCCAGGCCCGGGCGACUGGAUACCAGAACCACAGCUCCCUGCUGAAGCCGAAAGGCGACGUAUAGGGGGUGAUGCCUGCCCAGUGCCGGAAGGUUAAGGGGAGGGGUGCAAGCUCCGAACCGAAGCCCCGGUAAACGGCGGCUGUAACUAUAACAGUCCUAAGGUAGCGAAAUUCCUUGUCGGGUAAGUUCCGACCCGCACGAAAGGCAUCACGAUCUGGGCACUGUCUCGACCGGGGGCUCGGUGAAAUUGCAGUGGCCGUGAAGAUGCGGCCAACUCAGAGCGGGACAAAAAGACCCCGUGGAGCUUUACUACAGCUUGCCAUCGGGUAGCGCAGUCGGAUGCGUAGGAUAGGUGGGAGGCGGAGAAGGCGGGCUUGCGGGCCGGCUGGAGCCGACGGUGAAAUACCACUCUUCCGGGUGCGCUGCCCUCACCGGCGGGAAGGCCGGGACGGUGGCUGGCGGGUAGUUUGACUGGGGCGGUCGCCUCCUAAAAGGUAACGGAGGCGCGCAAUGGCGUCCUCAGGCGGGAUGGUCAUCCGCCGUGGAGUGCAACGGCAGAAGGGCGCUUGACUGCGAGGCAGACAGGCCGAGCAGGGAUGAAAGUCGGCCGUAGUGAUCCCACAGUACCGGGUGGAAGGGCUGUGGCUUAACGGAUAAAAGCUACCCCGGGGAUAACAGGCUCAGACCGCCCAAGAGUUCAUAUCGACGGCGGAGCGUGGCACCUCGAUGUCGGCUCGUCGCAUCCUGGGGCUGGAGUAGGUCCCAAGGGUUGGGCUGUUCGCCCAUUAAAGCGGCACGCGAGCUGGGUUCAGAACGUCGUGAGACAGUUCGGUCUCUAUCCGCUCUGAGCGUGCAGAGCACUGCGCGGGGCUGGCCCUAGUACGAGAGGACCGGGCUGGACGGACCGCUGGUGGAGGAGUUGUGGGGCGGCCUGCAAGCUCCGUAGCUAUGUCCGGGAGUGAGAACCGCUGAAAGCAUCUAAGUGGGAAACACGCCGCAAGACGAGUGCUCUCACAGCGUCAGGCUGGUAAGCCCCCCGGGAGAUGACCGGGCAAAGCGGCCGGAGCUGGAGGCGGGGCGACCCGUAGAGGCGACCGGU
rnacentral:rRNA from 1 species